CCUAGUUGAUCUUGCCAAUAGUCAUAUGCUUGUCUCAAAUAUUAAGCCAUGCAUGUCUAAGUAUGAACUAAUUCAGACUGUGAAACUGCAGAUGGCUCAUUAAAUCAGUUACAGUUUUUUUAUGGUACCAUACUACUCGAAUAACCAUAGUAAUUCUAGAGCUAAUACGUGCACCCCGACUCUUUGGAAGGGAUAAAGAUUGGCGCGGGCUUGCCCGCUUCUCCGGUGAAUCAUGAUAACUCGACGGAUCGCACAACACUUGUGCUGGCGAUGCUUCAUUCAAAUUUCUGCCCUAUCAACUUUCGAUGGUAGGAUAGAGGCCUACCAUGGUGGUGGCGGGUGAUGGAGAAUUAGGGUUCAAUUUUGGAGAGGGAGCCUGAGAAACGGCUUCCACAGCCAAGGAAGGCAGUAGGUGCACAAAUUACCCAAUCCUGACAUGGGGAGGAAGUGACAAUAAAUAACAAUAUUGGGCUCAUCGAGUCUGGUAAUUGGAAUGAGUACAAUCUAAAUCCCUUAACGAGGAUCCAUUGGAGGGCAAGUUUGGUGCUAACAACCAUGGUAAUUCCAACUCCAAUAGCAUAUAUUUAAUUUGUUGCAGUUAAAAACCACGUAGUUGGAUCUUGGGUCGUAAAGGUUGGUCCGCCCACUCAGUGUGCACCUACCCUUCCAUCCCUUUUGUUGGCAACAUGCUCCUGGCCUUAAUUGGCUGGGUCGCGGCUCCAUUGUUGUUACUUUGAAAAAAUUAGAGUGCUCAAAGCAAGCUUAUGCUCUGAAUACAUUAGCAUGGAAUAACGUGAUAGGAGUCUGGUCCUAUUGUGUUGGCCUUCGUGACCGGAGUAAUGAUUAAUAGGGACUGUCGGGGGCAUUCGUAUUUGAUUGGCAGAGGUGAAAUUCUUGGAUUUAUGAAAGAUGGACCACUGCGAAAGCAUUUUCCAAGGAUGUUUUCAUUAAUCAACAAAACAAUUUGGGGGCUUGAAGACAAUCAAAUACCAUCUUAGUCUCAACCAUAAACGAUGCCAACCAAGGAUCGGCGGAUGUUUCUAUAAGGAAUCCGCAAGCACCUUCUAAGAAAUCAUAGUGUUUGGGUUUCGGGGGGAGUAUGGUGGCAAGGCUGAAACUUAAAGGAAUUGAUGGAAGGGAACCACCAGGAGUGGAGCAUGCGGCUUAAUUUGACUCAACACUGGGAAACUUACUAGGUCUAGACAUAAUAAGGAUUGAUAGAUUGAGAGCUCUUUAUUGACUCUAUGGGUGGUGUUGCAUGGCCGUUCUUAGUUGGUGGGGCGAUUUGUCUGGUUAAUUUCGAUAAUGAAUGAGACCUCAGCCUGCUAACUUGCUACGUGGAGGUUCCCCUUCACGACCAGCUUCUUAAAGGGACUAUGGCCAUUUAGGCCAUGGAAUUUUGAGGCAAUAACUGGUAUGUGAUUCCCUUAGAUGUUCUGGGUCGCACGUGCACUACAUUGAUGCAACCAACAAUUUUUUCUUCCUGGUUCGAGAGGAUCGGGAAAUCUUCUCAAAUUGCAUCGUGAUGGGGAUAAACCAUUGCAAUUAUUGGUUUUCAACAAGGAAUUCCUAGUAAGCGCGUGUCAUCAAUUCGUGUUGACUACAUCCCUACCCUUUGUACACACCACCCGUCGCUCCUACUGAUUGAAUGAUCCGGUGAAGUGUUCGAAUUGCGUCGACGAUGGUGGUUCUCUGCCAUCGACGUCAUGAGAAUUUCAUUGAACCUUAUCAUUUAGAGGAAGGAGACGUCGUAACAAGGUUACCGUAGGUGAACCUGCGGUAG
rnacentral:rRNA from 1 species